GUGCCAGCCGCCGCGGUAAUACCGGCAGCCCGAGUGAUGGCCGAUCUUAUUGGGCCUAAAGCGUCCGUAGCUGGCUGCGCAAGUCCGUCGGGAAAUCCACUCGCCCAACGAGUGGGCGUCCGACGGAAACUGCACAGCUUGGGACCGGAGGACUCGAGGGGUACGUCCGGGGUAGGAGUGAAAUCCCGUAAUCCUGGACGGACCACCGGUGGCGAAAGCGCCUCGAGAGGACGGACCCGACGGUGAGGAACGAAAGCCAGGGUCCCGAACCGGAUUAGAAACCCGGGUAGUCC
rnacentral:rRNA from 1 species